rnacentral:rRNA from 1 species
AUUGAACGCUGGCGGCAUGCCUUACACAUGCAAGUCGAACGGCAGCACGGGGCAACCUGGUGGCGAGUGGCGAACGGGUGAGUAAUGUAUCGGAACGUACCUUUCAGUGGGGGAUAACGUAGCGAAAGUUACGCUAAUACCGCAUAUUCUGUGAGCAGGAAAGCAGGGGAUCUUAGGACCUUGCGCUGAUUGAGCGGCCGAUAUCAGAUUAGCUAGUUGGUGAGGUAAAGGCUCACCAAGGCGACGAUCUGUAGCGGGUCUGAGAGGAUGAUCCGCCACACUGGAACUGAGACACGGUCCAGACUCCUACGGGAGGCAGCAGUGGGGAAUUUUGGACAAUGGGCGCAAGCCUGACCCAGCCAUGCCGCGUGAGUGAAGAAGGCCUUCGGGUUGUAAAGCUCUUUCAGCCGGGAAGAAAACGCAUGGGUUAAUACCCUGUGUGGAUGACGGUACCGGAAUAAGAAGCACCGGCUAACUACGUGCCAGCAGCCGCAGUAAAAC